rnacentral:rRNA from 1 species
CAUGCAAGUCGAACGUGAUCUCUUGGAUUCGUCUGAGGGUGAAAGUGGCGAACGGGUGAGUAAUGCGUUGGUGAUCUGCCCCGGAGUGGGGAAUAACUAUUGGAAACGAUAGCUAAUACCCCAGAUGUCUUCGUGUUUGGAAAGCGAUGACUAAAGUUCAGGCGCUCCGGGCGGAGCCGACGUCCCAUCAGCUAGUUGGUAGGGUAAUGGCCUACCAAGGCAUAGACGGGUAGGGGGCGUGAGAGCGUGACCCCCCACACUGGUACUGACACACGGACCAGAUACCUACGGGUAGCAGCAGCUAGGAAUAUUGGACAAUGGGCGAAAGCCUGAUCCAGCAACACCGCGUGGAGGACGAAGGCCUUCGGGUCGUAAACUCCUUUUUGGGGGGAUGAGAAAGGACAGUACCCCCAGAAUAAGGCCCGGCUAACUACGUGCCAGCAGCCGCGGUAAUACGUAGGGGCCAAGCGUUAUCCGGAUUUACUGGGCGUAAAGCGCAUGUAGGCGGUUUAUUAAGUCGGACGUGAAAGCUCCUGGCUCAACUGGGAGAGGUUGUUCGAAACUAGUAGACUAGAGGGUGGUAGAGGAGAGCGGAAUUCCAGGUGUAGCGGUGAAAUGCGUAGAUAUCUGGAGGAACACCAGUGGCGAAAGCGGCUCUCUGGCCCACUCCUGACGCUGAGAUGCGAAAGCCAGGGGAGAG